rnacentral:tRNA from 1 species
GGAGGCGUCGCCUAGUCUGGUCUAUGGCGCCCGCCUGCUAAGCGGGUUUCGGUUUAUCCCCGAUCGCGGGUUCAAAUCCCGCCGCCUCCGCCA